rnacentral:rRNA from 1 species
GGUUGAUCCUGCCAGUAGUCAUAUGCUUGUCUCAAAGAUUAAGCCAUGCAUGUCUAAGUGUAAACAAAUUUAUACUGUGAAACUGCGAAUGGCUCAUUAUAUCAGUUAUAAUUUAUUUGAUAGUAACUUACUACUUGGAUAACCGUGGUAAUUCUGCAGCUAAUACAUGCGUUAAAGCCCAACUUAGCAAUAGGAAGGGCCGUACUUAUUAGAUUUAAGCCAACUUAAAGGGUAACCUUUAAUUUUUAUGGUUGAUUCAUAAUAAUUUUUCGAAUCGAAUUUGUUCUUUAAU